AUAAAUAUUUUUAUCCUAUAUACAUAUAUUUAGUAUGAAAAGAAACGAGAAUUUUUAUGCGUGCCAUAUAUUGACCAUAAUUAAAUCCUAAUUGCUGAAGUUCGGUUUUGAUGCUGAAAAAAGAAAACUUGGAUCGUAUAAAUAACUAUAUACAUAAGGUAACAAGACAUUUCUUAUAAAACAACUAUGAAAAGAUAGUAACGUAAAGAUGCAUAGCAUACUUCUUGCACGUACUUAUAUACUAUGAAACGGCAAUAAAGAGGAAAGAGAAAGAAUGCAACGUAUCUGCUACGUGACCAAAUUAACAUUAAGUCCAAAAGAAACAGCUAUAUCGGAUUCAUGGACAGGAAAUUGAUUCGUAACUACGUAAAUCAAUUGAAACGCCCAUUUCUUCUCUUUUUAUUAUCGUAUAUUCUUGCGGUUGUCAUCAAGAAUUCGAAGAACCGCAGCGAAUCGUGAAAGCAGACACUGGUACGUGAUCGAAAUGCCAUAACUUUGGCACGAGAUCCAUGAAUACCAGCAAAAUUCGUGACGGAACUCGAAUACGUUAGUCGAACGACUCCUUGCGCUUAUCGCACAUUUAUGAAAUUCUGGUUCUUACUAGAUAUACCUGGUCAUAUGUUUUUUCAAUUAACACGCUCUAAUCCUGCUUGUUUAUUUGAGACGAAGAUGCUUCCAAUGAUUUUUGCAAACUAUAAUUUUUAGAUGAAUAUAGUCUAUAAAAUGUUGAACUACGAAAUGCAAGAUAUAGAAUAUGCAAAAGAUGAAAUGAGAUGGAGAUUAUAAGAGUAUUAAGAUUGUUUGAAAAUUCAUACGAUUACAUAAAAUGCACUUUUAUUAG